AGUGAACGCUGGCGGCGUGCUUAACACAUGCAAGUCGAGCGAAGUGGCAGCUGUAGCAAUACAGUAUGUGCUUAGCGGCAGACGGGUGAGUAACACGUAGACAAUCUACCUUCUAGAGGGGGAGUAGCCCGCCGAAAGGACGGGGUAAGUACCGCGUAAGAUCAAGUCUCGGCAUCGGGAGUCUGAUGGAACGUCCGCAAGGACGGCUAGAAGAGGAGUCUGCGGCC
rnacentral:rRNA from 1 species